GUGGUGGUUCUUAUGCUAACAAAAGUGAAGAUCAUGUUUAUAACCUUCUUGAAGAGUUGAGUGAAAAUUUAUAUAAUUAUGCUUCUUCUGAUUUUGAUAGAACUAAUCCUCCCUUGAAAAAGGAUGGUGUUUAUGAACUAAUCAAACAUGCAGAUAAGGAUUUGAGGAAUGAGAUCAAUGAGAUCAAUAAGAAGUUGGAGAAGCUACUCUCUUCUCAAGGUACACAAAACCCUCAUACUCCAUCUUUGAAAAAUUCAGUUUUUUCUAUUUGUACUAGCAUUGGUCAUGAUGAGAAUACUUGUCCUACAUUUUUACAGUCUAUGAAUCUUGAU
rnacentral:lncRNA from 1 species